rnacentral:pre_miRNA from 1 species
UUUAAGUGCAGUUGUGUGUUUUUUUUUCUAGCGUUUGACCGUUCGUCUUAUUUGAAAAAAUUAUCAAAAUUUUUUUAAAAAAUAAGUCACGCAUAAAACACUAGGGUCAAACGUUGGACACAGAAAUCAACAUCUGCACUUAAA